UAGAGCGUAAGGAGCUAAAUAUUAGUACUAGAUUUGGUGGGCUAGUUGUUUCUCCGCGAGGUUCAGAGGGGAGACAAAAUGGCAGGGCGGCGGGAGCCAUGCGCGUCUCCUGCCCGCCUGCACCGACCGGCCCGCACGGCCCGGCCCUACAGGAUCCCGCCGGGUCUUACCACACGCCCGGGACGUAAGACCUUCAGGAGGAGCAAAACAGCGACCAACUUCCCCUUAAGGGCUGCGAGGGUCAAGGUGUAGGUGGCUGUGGGGUUUCACUGCUUGGCUGAAAUAAUGUGAUGGAAAUCUUCUGAGGUACUACGAUUUUGCUCUAAAUAGUGGAGGAGAAGAACUUCGACGAAAACUCGGCUGGAAAGCAACGAAAGGAUGACGAUUUGAGCUCUGUCAGGGUUCCUUGGGCGAGGAGACAUGGGCAAGAGGUGCUGUUUGCUGCCUUAGCCCUGUCCUGUGCCUCCUGCUGCCCCUGCCGUGCCUGUUGCAGCUGUGCCUCCAGCGCACCUCGCUCCUCCAGCACGCCCUUCAGCUGCAGGGCCAGCUCCUCGCUGUACCGGUGUGUCUGCAUCACGAUGGUGUCGCGCUGGGCCAGCUGGUCCUCCACCACGUUCAGCGUGUUGUUGAACUGUUCCCGCAUGCUGGCUUCCUGGGACAGGGACUUGUGCAGGCUGGAGGGGGGGAAGUUUCAGGGCUGUCAGAACCAGUCACAAUAUCAUUCAACAACACACAAACAUUAUACAUGCUGCUGAAAGACCUACGUAUGAUAUAGUGAAACCUUUUACUAUAUCUUGCUCUCAAACAGUUUUAAGAACUCUCAUCCAAAAUUCUCAGAGCAAUGCCAACUGUAUCAUCUAAUAAACCUAAGACAUGUACACCUAUGAAGGAUUUAGAUGGAAAACAGUAAAUGCUUUUCAGAUUUUUUUAUCCAUGUUGGGGUAUCAUUUGAAGAUGAUCUUAAAAUAAAGGAAAUAAAAGGAAAUGUGAAUGAGGUAAUCACUAAUUUGCACUGUAGUGGGAUUAUCUGUACUUUUCUAGCAUGUCAGAAGCUGCUUAAUAAUGUUAGCUCUUAACAAUUGUAUCUUUGGAACAACCUCCUUGACAUGCUUCAAAGUCCUUUUUCUUGUGAGCUUCAAAGGGUUCAGGGACUAAGGUUAUCAACAAGCUGAGAAAGCACCAAUGAUUCAAUGAAGAAAGAUUUGGAAAUACUAACUGCCAACUGGUAUCC